rnacentral:rRNA from 1 species
UACGAAGGGAGCUAGCGUUGUUCGGAAUCACUGGGCGUAAAGCGCACGUAGGCGGAUGUGUCAGUCAGGGGUGAAAUCCCGGAGCUCAACUUCGGAACUGCCUUUGAUACAGCACGUCUUGAGUCCGAUAGAGGUGGGUGGAAUUCCUAGUGUAGAGGUGAAAUUCGUAGAUAUUUAGGAAGAACACCGGUGGCGAAGGCGGCCCACUGGAUCGGUACUGACGCUGAGGUGCGAAAGCGUGGGGAGCAAACAGG